rnacentral:lncRNA from 1 species
UUACACAAAUAGAUACACAGUAUUAUUAUACAUAGAGGGAGCAAUAGCCCACAAGUAGAAGUUUCAGUUUCACCACACCCAUAUUAUUAACAGAUGGAAAUAUAUAUUUAUUCUUGAGAGGUACACACUGAUCACACAUCUACUGCUCCAUACCAAGUAAGCCAGAUAAUGGCAUUUAUAUCUCCAUUAUAUCACUUGAGAUGGUGGGUCUCAAUGUCUUUUGUGAUCUCAAUACAGAGGUCCAUCAAUUUGUUUGGCUCUUCAACAUCUUCUUUCGGCUUUUCAUAGUGAAAGUUCCAUGUCACCGAGGUGUUUUCCCCUUUUGUGUCCACAUGAACAACAAUCAUAAAGGUCUUGUACAGAUCCAUAAGAUCUCCUUCAACAACCUUGAAUGUCACGGACUUGGUUUCUUCUUCAGUUCUUCUAUUGCUUCAACAAUUUCCUUAGCAGCCUUCUCCUUUCUAUCUGUGGUUUUCAUCACAUUAAAUGCAACUUCUUAAGUCAAGCUAGUCAAGGCGUAUCCACAAUUUUAAUUUUGGGGAGCUGAAUAUAUAUAUAAAACACAUAAUUUGUAAAUUACACAUGUAAUAUAUUGGACCUAGAAUUUCUCUCCUAGGUGCUUUCAAUUGCUUGUAAUAAAACAUAAUAUUUUUAUGUAAUUUUUAUAUAUUUUAUAUUUUGAGUAUUUGUCUGUGAAUCCAACCCUAUAGUUGUAAUUUAAAGAAAUUCUGAAACUACGAGGACAAAAGUGCAAUUUUGUACUAGAGGAGGUUAAGAAGACUAUAAAUACAUGAGGGAGGCAACCCUAAUUGGGAGUAAGAGCCAACAAUAUUGUUUAUCCAUGCUCUUUGUGUACUUGAGAGAUUUUUAGAGAAAUCAUUGAGCUUCAUCUUUUCUCUUAAGGUGUGUUUAUCAUAAACUCAUCAAAUCAAGAUUUAAAUCCUUUGGACAUACUCAAAGGCGGAUAGAUUUAAGUUCAAUUCAUAGAUGAUUGUUGAUGAUUCAAUACUCAACCAUUAACUGAAGCGUAGAUCGUGGACUCAGUCAGUACUAGGAUCACAUUCACAUGUUCGAGGAUUUGACACCUAAGGCGCGUGAAUUUAGUUAGAUUGAGUUUGUAAGUUAUAACUUAUAUUUUGCAUAGUGGAUUAGUUGAUCGUACUUAGUUCCAGAUUUUUUUUUCUACUUUGAGAUUUUGCACGUAAAAAAUUGCUUGUUUUUGUGUGUGCUUGAUUUUAUAUUUAUUUGAGGUUUUUAUUUGUUUGGUUAAAUAGCUUCGCAAAUUCAUAAAACGAAUAAAACUAUAUUUUUAAUUUUACAAUUGGUAUCAGAGCGGGUCACUCAAAAUAAAAUAUUUUUUUAUUUUUUUUCAGAGUAUGGUCUGAUUGAUUUGUUUCUAUGUAUAAAUUUGAUCGUAAGAAGCUUGACAAUAUUCAACAAGCCUAUGAUAACUUUGUAAGGAGUCUUAUGAGAAGAACAAAAUUUAUGAAAAAUGUAAUGCAAAAGUGGAAUCACUUAAGAAGUCUUAAGAGAUGAAUAUAAAUAAGAGCUAAUUGAAGCUCAAGCUACCGUGGGUGAAUUGAAUCGUAUAAUGCUACUUUGUCUAAAAAAAAAAUUAUUAUUGAAAAAGAGAAAAAAUAAAUAUUUGAUAAGUUGAAUUUACUUUUUGAAAAACAUUUAAAACCUGACAAAGAUAUGCAUUUGUGUCUUGAGUCAAAAGAUAAUCUUGAGGAAAAAGUGGGUAAAUUAGAAUUUGAUCUUAGUGCUUCUAAUGCUACUCUCGAGAAGUUUAAUGCAGAUUCAAAGGUUUUGGAUGAAAUUAUUUGCGUGCAAAAAUUUUCUUCUGACAAGAGAGGACUUGGAUAUGUUGAUAAGCCUUCAUCUUCUUCCAAAUCGGGGAACAUGGAUAUUUUUGUGAACCCUAAAAAAUGUGGUUCCAAUCUUUCCAAGGCCAACCAAACAAAGGGAUCUCCUAAGAAAACCGUCACAAAUGUAUAGGUAAAAUCAUCUAAUUUUAAUCUUGUUUGCCAUCAGUGUAGUGUCCAUGGUCAUAUUAGGCAUUUAUUGAUUUAAUGAUUGUUUUGAUGAUAUUUGAUGAUGUCAAGGUUUCAUCAUGUAUGGUCUUAAUAUUGAUAUAUGCACAAAAUGUAUAUAUAUAUAUAUAUAUAUAUAUAUAUUAUUUAUCAUAUUAAUACAUAUAUAUUAGAUUCAUGGUAUGAUUAUGCGUAUUCUACAUUAGUAUUUUUCAUUCUAUUAGUAUUAUACACCUUCAAAGUUCAGUCGAUCAAAAUUGCAACUGAAACAAAGUUUGAUUGACUGAAGUUGACUUUUGGUCGGCCGAACUUUCGACCAAAAUUUAAAAUUUUCAAUCCUAACAGUCCAAAUCAAGUUCCAACGGCCCAAAUUAAAUUCUAAUUACUCUAUUACUAUUUCAACAAGUAGAUUUGCUAAGAUGGCUAUAAAUACAACCCUUAACUAGAUGCAAAUUAUGAUGGGAUGA